rnacentral:rRNA from 1 species
GACAGAGGGUGCAAACGUUGUUCGGAAUUACUGGGCGUAAAGCGCGUGUAGGCGGCCCUGCAAGUCGGAUGUGAAAUCCCACGGCUCAACCGUGGAAGUGCAUUCGAAACUGCAGGGCUAGAGUCCUGGAGAGGAAGGUGGAAUGCUUGGUGUAGAGGUGAAAUUCGUAGAUAUCAAGCGGAACACCGGUGGCGAAGGCGGCCCGCUGGGCAGUGGCUGACGCUGAGGCGCGACAGCGUGGGGAGCAAACAGG